GUGCUCACUUUAGUAGCACCUAAACUAAAAUUAGAACGAUAUGGAGAAGAUUAGCGUGGUCCCUGCGCAAGAAUGAUACUCCAAUUCGUGAAGCAUUCCAUUAAAAA